GUUAGAACGGAACAGGCUACCAUUAUUGUGAAUUGUACUGACAACGAAUAAUUAUGAUCUCAAAACGACAGUAAGUGUUGAUGAAAAUGAAAUAAUUAUUGGUGAAACCAAUUCCAGGAAAGUGACUGUUGAACUCAGCAGUUCUGGCGAAGUUGCGUACAAUCCUACCAUAGCAUUAACUCAUGACCCGUCAUUACAAUAUGAAGAUUUCGAUGUAUCCGAUAGAUCGUUCAGAAUUGUGCCAGAUGCAACACUAAGUAGACCUGAUUACGAUUUGUUUCAACUUCAAGGACCCCUUGAUCCAAAUCAAAAGGU